CCCCGAACAUAAAAAUAUUUUUCUUGCCCAAAUUCUAAGAUUUUUGUUUUGUAUUACGAUUUUCCAGAACUGUUUUGCACUAAGAUUCCGGAGAAGCAAGCCAUGAAAGCACUACCCAUAGACCCUCUUGUACUGGAAUCCCCUCAGAAGUUCUUCCUGCGGAUAAAGCAGAAAUUGCAGCAGCAGCAGAGAGAUCCAACCCCUCCAAACCCCAUCACGCAGAAUAUUCCUCCUUCCACAGCUACAGAAAAGCCGUUAAACGAAGCUGCUUUUGCUGAGCAGCUUGGGAAUGACCCCCCCGAGCCUGUGGCCUCCAACAGAGAGGAUCAGGAUAGUUUCUGUGUGGAAGUAAUGGAUACUGAUGAUGAAAUGCCUCAAAAUACAGUGACUAGUUCUGUGAAUUUGAACUCCACCCCUUUAAAAAAUGGGGGUCAGUUAGAAGAAAGGGAGAGAAAUGGAGAAGCAAAAUGUACUGAACUUGAUCAAGGCGGAAGAGAGUUGCAGCCAGGUGAUAAGGAAGCUGCUCAUGGGGUGCAAGAGGAACUAGAGACUAAUCCCCAGAAGCCCUCACAGUGCUUUUGCAGGGUGAUUCUCUCUCCCCCCAGAGUGAACAUUCUGAGGAAGCAGAAGCUGACAGAAGGCUGUAAGGUCCAUUUGGAUAAACCUGGUACAGAUCACGUUGCCGGCAAAGCAGACCAAGAGAAAACUGUCUGCCUAACCAAAUGGAGAGUUAAAGUGCUGGAUGAUAACACUGCAAUAUGUGUUGAAGGAAAAGAGAAGUAAGAAAAAAUGUUGUGAUUUAAAUGUGAUGUAAAACCUGUUGGUGGGCUUUCAGCACCUGAGCUGGGAAGGCUCUUCCAUCCUCUCCUGGCUGAGUAACUCCACCUUGGAGACUUAUAACCUUGGAAUAUCUUGGUAGCUGUUGGAAACAGCUCCCCACGCUUCUGCUGCUUUCCUCCCCAGCCACGGGGACGCUCUGCUUGCACCCUAGCCCUUGUCACGGUGCUUACAGCUCUUAUCAUUAUGUUUUGAAACGCAGUUCUCUGCCUAAGCAC
rnacentral:lncRNA from 1 species